UACGUAGGUGGCAAGCGUUGUCCGGAAUUACUGGGUGUAAAGGGAGCGUAGGCGGGAAUGCAAGUUGAAUGUAUAAACGGUCGGCUCAACCGGCCGAAGCGUUCAAAACUGCAGUUCUUGAGUGGAGUAGAGGCAGGCGGAAUUCCUAGUGUAGCGGUGAAAUGCGUAGAUAUCAGGAGGAACACCGGCGGCGAAGGCGGCCUGCUGGACUGAAACUGACGUGAGGCUCGAAAGCGUGGGGAGCAAACAGG
rnacentral:rRNA from 1 species